rnacentral:rRNA from 1 species
AGCAGCCGCGGUAAUUCCAGCUCCAAUAGCGUAUAUUAAAGUUGUUGCAGUUAAAAAGCUCGUAGUUGAAUUUCGGGGUCAGUAGGCUGGUCGUGCCACGGGUACGUACUGGUUUCACUGAUUCCUCCUUCCUGAAGAACCGUAAUGCCAUUAAUUUGGUGUUGCGGGGAAACAGGACUGUUACUUUGAAAAAAUUAGAGUGUUUAAAGCAGGCUAACGCUUGAAUACAUUAGCAUGGAAUAAUGAAAUAGGACGAUCGAUCCUAUUUUGUUGGUUUCUAGGAUUGACGUAAUGAUUAAUAGGGAUAGUUGGGGGCAUUAGUAUUCAAUUGUCAGAGGUGAAAUUCUUGGAUUUAUUGAAGACUAACUACUGCGAAAGCAUUUGCCAAGGAUGUUUUCAUUAAUCAAGAACGAAAGUUAGGGGAUCGAAGACGAUCAGAUACCGUCGUAGUCUUAACCAUAAACUAUGCCGACUAGGGAUCGGAUGAUGUUAAUUUUAUAAUGACUCAUUCGGCGCCUUA